GUAACAAGGUUUCCGUAGGUGAACCUGCGGAAGGAUCAUUGUCGAAACCUGCCUAGCAGAACGACCCGCGAACACGUUAUCGAACAACAACUGGAGGGGGACUGGUCGCGUAAUUGCCCCUCGACCCCUCCACGUCUCGGGGCACUGGGAUCGCUUGCUCCCGCAUGCACUUUGUGCUGUUGGGCGGCACGACCCGGUGUCUCCGAGGCAAAACGAACAACCCCCGGCGUGAAUCGCGCCAAGGAAUUAGAAUGAAAAGGCGGUCGUGUCUUGUCCCCGCCCCGUUCGCGGUGUGCGUGCGGCAUAGAUACGCCUGCUUUGUCGUGAAAACACAAAAACGACUCUCGGCAACGGAUAUCUCGGCUCUCGCAUCGAUGAAGAACGUAGCGAAAUGCGAUACUUGGUGUGAAUUGCAGAAUCCCGUGAACCAUCGAGUCUUUGAACGCAAGUUGCGCCCCAAGCCGUUAGGCCGAGGGCACGUCUGCCUGGGUGUCACGCAUCGUUGCCCCCAUCCGAACCMGAACCAUAGGGUAUCGGUCGAGGUGUGGGCGUAAAUUGGCCUCCCGUGCGCAAAACGCUCACGGUUGGUCUAAAAUUGAGUACACGGCGUCACGUUGCCGCGACGAUCGGUGGUAAUGCCUUGAGCAGCCUCGUUUUGAGUCGUGCGCACUCGUCGAUCUGGACUCUAUGACCCUCUUGGCAUCGCACUUGCGGUGCUCGCAUCGCGACCCCAGGUCAGGCGGGACUACCCGCUGAAUUUAAGCAUAU
rnacentral:misc_RNA from 1 species